GAUGAACGCUGGCGGCGUGCUUAACACAUGCAAGUCGAACGAAGCACUCUACUUGAUUUCCUUCGGGAAUGAUUGUUCUGUGACUGAGUGGCGGACGGGUGAGUAACGCGUGGGUAACCUGCCUCAUACAGGGGGAUAACAGUUGGAAACGACUGCUAAUACCGCAUAAGCGCACAGCUUCGCAUGAAGUGGUGUGAAAAACUCCGGUGGUAUGGGAUGGACCCGCGUUGGAUUAGCUAGUUGGUGGGGCAACGGCCUACCAAGGCGACGAUCCAUAGCCGACCUGAGAGGGGUGACCGGCCACAUUGGAACUGAGAUACGGUCCAGACUCCUACGGGAGGCAGCAGUGGGGAAUAUUGGGCAAUGGGCGCAAGCCUGACCCAGCGACGCCGCGUGAGUGAAGACGGUCUUCGGAUUGUAAAACUCUGUUGACAGGGACGAUAAUGACGGUACCUGUCGAGGAAGUCACGACUAACUACGUAGCCAGCAGCCGAC
rnacentral:rRNA from 1 species